ACCAAGGUGGCGUAGUGGUUAGCGCAUCCGCCUAAUGAGCAUGAGACCCGGGUUCGAAUCUCGGCCUUGGUA